rnacentral:rRNA from 1 species
AUGGUGGCACAGAAUCGGAGGCCCCGACUGUUUACUAAAAACACAACACAGUGCAAUCAUUAAUAUGGUAGUAUACUGUGUGAAAUUUGCCCAAUGCCAUUAAUAUAAAAGCGGUCAUAGGAAACUGUGACUAAUUGAAAAUCUGGUUAAUAGCGGUCUUAACCAUGAGGAUCCUAAGGUAGCAAAAUAAAUUGGCCAUUAAAUGUGGUCCGGUAUCAAUAAUGUAACGAUGGCCUCACUGUCUCUACAACUUGCUCAGUGAAAUUGAAUUACGCGUGCAGAUG